UGUUAACUCCUCCUGUCAAAAUAGUAGUGACUACACCUGGCAGAUGGCGGUGUUGCAGCGGUUAAAGAUUUUGUAAAAUGGGUUGCAUAUGAAAAACAGCAUUACGAUCAUAAAAAAUAUUAUCAUUAUUUUUAUUUGCACUGCAGUGAUUAGGGUUGUCUACGUUCAAAAAAUUUUUUUAUUAAAAUUGGUAACGAUAAUAAUACUUAUUUGUAAUGCUUUUCAUUGGAGAAGAAAUCGGGAAAUACCACGUGUAAACGUUCAAAUGUCGCGUCCGUGACCGCGAAGCGCGUAAAGAGAAAAAUAGAAAUUGUCUGUAGUUAUCAAUGAGAGUAUUUGAAAAAUAUGAAAAUGUAAAGUUGGUUGUUAUCAUUUGUCAUUCAUAAGAAGAAAGCAGGAAAGAAUUUUUGAAAAAGAUUUCACAGUCACCUAUCAUCGCCGCUCCCCUACGACCCUCUCUUUUAGUUGUCUUGCCACAAUUUCGGAUUUAACCGUCACCGAUAAUUUUCGCCACUCUACGAGCAUCCCUUUAACUUGUCCUGUCACAGUUUUUGGUAAGUUUUCCAAAAAAGGUUGACUACACUUCAAUUUUCAUUCAUACUUACUUGUCGACCGUAUUCGG